AUAUUGGGAAGGAAUUGCUGGCUGGGAGGGUGGAGGGGCCCUGGCCCAGGUUGCCCAGAGAAGCUGUGGCUGCCCCUGGAUGUGUCCAAGGAGCAGGAUUAGGAUCAGGGUUACAGCAGAAGGGGGAACUGUACUACAGCUCUGGAGAUCUCAGUUCUCUCAUCAGUGGGGGGAAGUUUGCAUGGUGUGGAGGUCUGGAGGAUUCCCAGGAUUGGGGCCAAGCCCCUUGUUUUGGGGUGUGAUUAUCCAACGAAAUAGGACGGGAAUGUGCAGUAACACAAGCCAUGGGUGACGUAUCUUGGGAACACUUUACCUGGGCACAACAGCUUUAUGUGUGGGUCCUGCAGCCACCAACCCAGUCUGGAUUUUGGGCUCACCCUGCUUCUCCCCUGCCUCCCAUAACCAUGGAUUGUUUCUGUUCUGCCAGUUCCCAGAGUAUUUGGGAAUAAAAGAGGGCUGUGCUGGAUCAGGCCAUUCCCUCAUCUCCAACAGCAGUGGAGCAGUGACAGCUCUUGAGAGACAAAGAGCCCACUUAGGCUGUGCUGGAUGGCUUCUCCAGCAUUCCCUACGGUGGAUUUUAUGGCAACAACAACUACUGGGGAGACAAGGCCGAGGCUGUGAAGAGGGAGGAGUGGGGUGGGAGCCAGGCUGAGCUCACCACUGUGCAGGACUGAUAAGCCAGAGCCGACCACAGAACUCCAGCUCAGCUCCACUCCCCCAUGUCAGAGACACCCCCAUGGUGAAGUCACGAGUUUUGCAGCACCAGGUUGGGAAGAACUUUUAAGACCUGCCAAAACAUUCCAAGAGCCCCCAGAUGUGGUUCUAGAUGAGAAAAGCAAGGUAUGUAAGAACUUGGAAUGUUUCCUACUCCGCUUCCUGGUGAUGGCAACAGGAAUUGUGCAAACCCCGUGUGUAAGACAACGGGAAAGGAGGAGGAAUCCAUAAAAGUGUGCAGAUUUCUAAGAAAACAGAGCUACUCCUUGGCCAGUUCCCAAAGGACAAGCUAUAAUUAUCAGGUACUCCCUCAAACACUGCAUCUAUUUUCAGGAAGGGCUUCCUGGAUAAAGUGUCUCAGGAGCCAAAACAACAGGUGACAGAAGGAGGUCCCUUGGCUCUCAAGGGCACCAGCUCAGGCCGUGUCAUCUGAGAGGAGCUGAAAAGCUCAGGGGUUACUCCUGGGAUAAGACAAAGAGCCUCGUGCUUAGAAACCUCCAGGAUAUCCCAGCCUGUUCCCCUGGGCCUUCACUGCCCCAGGGGCUUGACAAAACCUGCUGACAACCCCCCCAGACUCUAGGAAAAAA